UACGGGGGGGGCAAGCGUUGUUCGGAUUUACUGGGCGUAAAGGGCUCGUAGGCGGCCCUCUCAGUCGGAUGUGAAAUCCCCAGGCUUAACCUGGGAACUGCGUCUGAUACUGGAUGGCUUGAAUUCGGGAGAGGGAUGCAGAAUUCCAGGUGUAGCGGUGAAAUGCGUAGAUAUCUGGAGGAAUACCGGUGGCGAAGGCGGCAUCCUGGACCGACAUUGACGCUGAGGAGCGAAAGCUAGGGGAGCAAACGGG
rnacentral:rRNA from 1 species